GGCGAGUAAAUUGGGAUGCAAACCGUAUAUUACCUCCUUAUUCCAGUAGACUACUUUUAAGUAAUUCACCUUCCCUAGCAAACCGUAGAACGAUGCUUGGAUAAGUUCUUAUAUAUAAGCUUAUUCGAGGUGAAGUUGAGAGUCCAGACUUGGUUAGUUAGGUUUAUCAAAUUAGACUUUAUCCUAUUAUUUGUAAUCUUCACUCUCUGCCGCUCUAAAAAUAACCUUUUGUAAUAAUAAUUAGAUCCUAAUUACACUAAUAUUUAUUAAAGUUUUUUUACAUUAGAUUAAUUUCCUCGUUUCUGUUCUCUUUUCAAUAUCGCGUCUAUCUUCUCGCGAAUCGAGCUGUACGCUACACGGCAGCGUCCCUCGGUCGGUUGGGCGGGAGGUGUGGCCGUAGGACCCAUGCAAAAAAAAAACACUAUGCACCAGACCAAUACAAUUCGUGGUAGAGGCCACUUCAAGCUGAGGAAAUCUUGCUCCAAUACUCCGAUAGUUCUAGAGGAUGUAUCCAAGGAGGACACUUGAAAUUUGAUGAUGAUCCUAUCUUUAAUCAUCUGUUGUUUUCAUUUGCUCUUCUACUGUCAUCAUCGUCCUCAUGUAGACGCUCUGUAAGAAAAAGAUGUCCUGGAAUGAAAGCCUCCCUGAGGCACAAAACAAGAAGUGGCUCUAUAUUUUCAGCUGCUUUGGAAGCAUAUGUCCCGUCGAAUUCCCACGUUUUGUGCUGGACUCAGAUGCAGAUCUUGAAAAUCAUGGGUUUUGCGAUCCUCGAGGCUUACGGUGCAUGUACUUUGCAUGAAAUCUCGUGUUGCUCCAUUAAAGACAAUUACUGUUCCUAAGCUGGAGCUUUGUGGUACAGAUCUCUUAGCUAGAGUUAUGCAUGAGGAGUUGACAGCUUCCAGCCGACAUUCUCUGCAGAGGUGUUCUUCCCUCUGAGCUCUACGAGUUGCCGGUCUGUUACCGUCCUUUCUAAUCGGGUCGGAGAGAGAUUGGCUAUCUGCUAGUCUCACUGGGAGGCCGCUUGAGCUUCGUUAAAGCGUCAUACCGGCCCUUGGGCUCUUCUUGGUAUAAUUCUUUCCACAUAUUGGCCUAUUGGUGAAAAAAGACUGUGACUGUGCCCCGAAUAGACGCGUAUGAUGUUUUCGGAAUAAACCUCGUCACACCUCGGAACCCAUUAUGGCGGAUCUUCCGAGGGACCGUCUUGACGGAUCGCAUACCUUUCAGUUCACUGGAGUCGAUUUCUGUGAGCCGGAGGCUCGAAACAAGGCCCCGAUAAAGUGCUACGUCCGCGAAUUUAUCAGCUUUGCAACCUAGACUGGGCAUCUAUAGUUAUUCAAGGACCUCUCCACAGCCGUUUUUAAUACUAGACUUUUAGUAUCACUUUCAGAGAGCCCCGCUGAUCUGGGGUCUGCUGAAAGCCUGACCUCUGACCUGACCUGGGCGAAGCAUGUCGGGCCACGCAGCCGGCAGCAUUAAACGAGACCAAGUGUAAUAGUUAAGAUUAAAGUACAUCUAUCAUAGUUUCCUCCUCCUCCAGCAUUAAACGAGACCAAGUGUAAUAGUUAAGAUUAAAGUAAAUCUAUCAUAGUUUCCUCCUUGCUCAUUUAUUUUCUUAUUUAUAUAAGCAAACAUCUUUGUACUGAGCGUUUGGAGAGACAAACUCUCUUAGCUUUGAGCUCAGUCUUCUACAUACUCCGCCUGCAUACAAACGUUUUCGCUGUCAAAUAAAGUUCAAUAAACCAAGAAUAUUAUCUGAACAAUAUCAGAAUAUUAUCUGAACAGCUGACACGUAGCUCCGGAAAUGGGCAACAAGCCACCCAACGGUUAUAAGUCACAUUCUUGCAGCUGAUUUUAUUGCAAAACGUCCAUGUUCGAAAGGCACAACAGACACUCACUAAAGACACUUGGCUUGUACUACAGCCCAGUAACGACGUCUAUGCUUUCCAAAUCAAUUUCAAGAUCAAUCCUACCCAUUCUAAACGAUCACUCUUAUCCAAAGUGGUACGUACUUUUGACCCAUUGGGGUUCUUAACGCCCGUGAUCGUCAUGUCAAAGAUCCCCCUAAAAGACUUAUGGACCUUCCGCGAUCAGCAAAACGAAGACGGUUACCAAGCACAUCGAACAGCUCCCUGAUAUCCAACAAAUCCAUGUCGCACGCUGGCUUGGAUUCUACUUAAACAAAGUUGUCUCUCUCCAGUUACAUAUGUUUUCCGAUGGAUCGUCCUCCGCAUUUGCAACGUGCGCAUACCUAUCGGCAGCCGACCAAACUCGCUACAUGGAUCCAGAAGCAGCUGCACGUUCCAAAUGAUACCCGUCUCUGUAUACUACUGCACUAU